rnacentral:piRNA from 1 species
UGAAAGCAUUUCAAGACCUGCCC